UAAAUCGUGAGAGAUAGUCAGGAGGAAGCCGCUAGCAUUCUUUAUAAAAAUAAGUGCGAGCUGAUGAACAAAAACAUCAUAUGGGGCGUAGGCUGGAGACGAGCUAGCACAAGAUAGCGAAGUCAUGUGAUCUAACGGCCACCGUAAAUGAUGCAGUUGUGCAGAGAAAGUGGAUGCA
rfam:Pseudoalteromonas porphyrae strain TCD-SED14 scaffold_15, whole genome shotgun sequence.